rnacentral:rRNA from 1 species
GACGAACGCUGGCGGCGUGCUUAAUACAUGCAAGUCAACUUGACUUUAGAUAGCAAUAUCGAAAAGUAGGGUGGCGCACGGGUGCGUAACGCGUAGGUAAUCUGCCCUGAGGUCUGACAUAACCCGUCGAAAGGCGGGCUAACAUCAGAUGAUAUAUAAUCACGACAUCGUGGAAAUAUCAAAUCUUCGGAGCCUUGGGAUGAGCCUGCGUCUGAUUAGGUAGUUGGCGGAGUAAUAGCCCACCAAGCCUACGAUCAGUAGCUGGUCUGAGAGGAUGAUCAGCCACACUGGAACUGAGACACGGUCCAGACUCCUACGGGAGCAGCAGUAAGGAAUAUUGCUCAAUGGGGAAACCCUGAAGCAGCAACGCCGCGUGAAGGAUGAAAUACUUUUGUAUGUAAACUUCUGUAAGAUGGGAAAAAUAUUCUACUCGGAGAUUGAUUGUACCAUCAGAGUAAGCCCCGGCUAACUACGUAGCCAGCAG